CAAACCAACCCCAGAGAACUUGCGGGCCUCGGCCCGCCGUACACGGAACCGCCGGUGGGGGCGGGGCCGGCGUUGGCUUCGGCUGCGUCGUCUCCGGAUACCCCCCUGCCGCGCGGCGCCGAAACCCAUGAAACCUUCUGCCCUGAAGCAGCUUCGUAUGGGGACACCCCUGCGAUCUAACUGAGACAACUCUCAACAACGGAUAUCUUGGCUCUCGCAACGAUGAAGAACGCAGCGAAAUGCGAUACGUAGUGUGAAUUGCAGAAUUCCGUGAGUCAUCGAAUCUUUGAACGCACAUUGCCGGUCGAGUCUUCGGACGAGACCACAUCUGCCUCAGCGUCGGAAUAACCCCUCACGCGCUUGCGCGUGGACCUGGCCCCCCCGGUCACUGGCCUUGUGCCAGCCGGGCUGGCUGAAAUACAGAGGCUCGUGCGCGGCCCAAUCGCGGCCCCGACUAGGUAGGUUGCUCGCAACUGCUAGGCGGAGGCUCGGCGUCGCGUGCUGUGAGCCACGAAGGAUACCCACUAUUCAUUCGACCUGAGUUCAGGUGA
rnacentral:rRNA from 1 species